rnacentral:lncRNA from 1 species
AGGCAGAGUGUGGGAAAACCUUCAACUACAGCUCUAAUCUUGUGUAACACCAAAGAAUCCACAUUGGAAAUAAGCCUUAUCAGUGUAACAAACGUGGAAAGGCCUUUGUUUAAAGUUCUAACCUAAUUUCCCAUCACAGAACUCACACUGGACAGAAACCCUAUGAAUGUAAUGAGUGUGAAAGGGCAUUCUCUCUGGGAUCAACCAUUAUGAAGCAUCAGGGGAAUACUACUGGUGAGCAACCCUACACACAUGUAAAAAAUGUGGAAAGGUCUUUGGUCAGCAUCCAGCCUUUAUUCGACAUCUGGAAGUUCACACAGGGUAGAAAUCUUAUGAACAUACUGGA